rnacentral:rRNA from 1 species
CCUACGGGCGACAGCAGUGAGGAAUAUUGGUCAAUGGGCGUAAGCCUGAACCAGCCAAGUCGCGUGAGGGAUGAAGGUUCUAUGGAUCGUAAACCUCUUUUAUAAGGGAAUAAAGUGUGGGACGUGUCCUGUUUUGUAUGUACCUUAUGAAUAAGGAUCGGCCAACUCCGUGCCAGCAGCCGCGGUAAUACGGAGGAUUCGAGCGUUAUCCGGAUUUAUUGGGGUUAAAGGGUGCGUAGGCGGCCUUUUAAGUCAGUGGUGAAAGUCUGUGGCUCAACCAGAGAAUUGCCGUUGAAACUGGGGGGCUUGAGUAUGUUUGAGGCAGGCGGAAUGCGUGGUGUAGCGGUGAAAUGCUUAGAUAUCACGCAGAACCCCGAUUGCGAAGGCAGCCUGCCAAGCCAUGACUGACGCUGAUGCACGAAAGCGUGGGGAUCAAACAGGAUUAGAUACCCGGGUAGUC